CACAGUCAGCGUCUCCUCGACACGGAAGGCUCUCUUCUCUCAUUGAUUACGGAGCUGGGCGCUAAGAGAAAGUUCACUGACUGAAGGAAUUGAUGUCCACUAUGGCUACGUUUCGCUUUGGGCAGCACAUCAUAAAGUCCUCGGCUGUGUUUUUGAAGACGGAGUUGUCCUUCGCACUAGUCAACCGAAAGCCGGUCGUGC